rnacentral:misc_RNA from 1 species
AACGCACCUUGCGCCCUUUGGUAUUCCGAAGGGCAUGCCUGUUUGAGUGUCGUGAACCUCUCAACCCCCUCGUUUUGUAAUGAUUUGAGCGCGGGCUUGGACUGUGGUCGCCUGUCGGUCUCUAACGGGAUCGGCUCGACUGAAAUACAUGAGCGUACAUGUUCUCGGUAGCAGUAGCUUUAUCUUGGCGUAAUAAUACAUUCGUUGAGAUUGUCUACGCAGUGUUCCGAAAGCAGCGGCGCUUCAUAAUGCCCGGCUUCAUUAAUUCUUAGUGAACCGAAUUUUAAGUCAUAGACCUCAGAUCAGGCAGGACUACCCGCUGAACUUAA